rnacentral:rRNA from 1 species
UACGUAGGGACCGAGCGUUGUCCGGAAUCAUUGGGCGUAAAGAGCGUGUGGGCGGCCACUUAAGUCCUGCGUGAAAUCUUGCGGCUCAACCGCAAGCGGUCGUGGGAAACUGGGUGGCUAGAGUGCGGGAGAGGAGAGUGGAAUUCCUGGUGUAGCGGUGAAAUGCGCAGAUAUCAGGAAGAACACCCGUGGCGAAGGCGGCUCUCUGGGACGGUACUGACGCUGAGACGCGAAAGCGUGGGGAGCGAACAGG